rnacentral:rRNA from 1 species
UACGAAGGGGGCUAGCGUUGCUCGGAAUCACUGGGCGUAAAGCGCACGUAGGCGGGUCCUUAAGUCAGGGGUGAAAUCCCGGAGCUCAACUCCGGAACUGCCUUUGAUACUGGGGAUCUUGAGUCCGGAAGAGGUGAGUGGAACUCCGAGUGUAGAGGUGAAAUUCGUAGAUAAUUCGGAAGAACACCAGUGGCGAAGGCGGCUCACUGGUCCGGUACUGACGCUGAGGUGCGAAAGCGUGGGGAGCAAACAGGAUUAGAUACC